rnacentral:rRNA from 1 species
AACCUGCGGAUUUCCGCACGUCCGGGCGGGACGACCGUCCACUGGUUCCGUUCUCAUCUGUUCGGUCUCCGGCCUUCCCCCACGGGGCAUCGCCUCUGGUUGCAGGGGGGCGUCGAGUGGAGGUGCGUGUCAUAACACUCAACGCAUCGGUGCGGAUUGCACCAAGGAUCUGAUAAAUAGCUGUGCGGGCUGCGCGCCAUGCGCGCGUCGGACUCACGGCGCCAAUUAAACACGACUCUCGGCAACGGAUAUCUCGGCUCUCGCCACGAUGAAGAAUGUAGCGAAAUGCGAUACUUAGUGUGAAUUGCAGAAUCCCGUGAAUCAUCGAGUCUUUGAACGCAAGUUGCGCCCGAGGCCUCGGCCGAGGGCACGUCUGCUUGGGCGUCGCACUCUAAAAUCGACUUCCCCCGUUCCUCGGCGGGAGGAUCGGAGAUGGCUGUCCGUGCCCACCAGCGGCGCGGUCGGCUCAAAUGGGCACGAGAUUUGUGGCCGAUGUCACGAUGAGCGGUGGCCAAUGUUGGUCGGCGUUGGAUUGUGGCAUGGGGUCACGGAUUUGUGCGGAACUUUACUCGUUGUUAGUCGCGACUCUUCCGCGGGAGGGCGCGUCGCAACUUUCGCGGCCCCAGGUCAGGCGUGAGUACCCGCUGAG